rnacentral:lncRNA from 1 species
UAAGACGAGUGGUCAAACUUGAUAUUAAAAAAGUCAAACGACUUACAAUUUGGGAUGGAUUGAGUAGAAAACAAGACCUUAAACAUUGGCGACGGCGUCUUGUCUCGCCGACGGCCGGCCUCUUCGGUUGCCGUGGUUACUCCUAAUAUUUGGACGAUUGGGAUCGGACAUUGAUUGGAGUAGUAGUACUCACGCCUCACGCCUGACGGGGGGCAGGGACCUGGGCGAAUCUGCAGAAAAGCGGCGGAUGCCUCUGCAUUGCAGGAUUCGGCUGCUCGAUCUGUCGUACUGCCG